AUUGAACGCUGGCGGCAUGCCUUACACAUGCAAGUCGAACGGUAACAGGCCGCAAGGUGCUGACGAGUGGCGAACGGGUGAGUAAUGCAUCGGAACGUGCCCAGUCGUGGGGGAUAACUGCUCGAAAGAGCAGCUAAUACCGCAUACGACCUGAGGGUGAAAGCGGGGGACCGUAACGCCUCGCGCGAUUGGAGCGGCCGAUGUCAGAUUAGCUAGUUGGUGGGGUAAAGGCCUACCAAGGCAACGAUCUGUAGUUGGUCUGAGAGGACGACCAGCCACACUGGGACUGAGACACGGCCCAGACUCCUACGGGAGGCAGCAGUGGGGAAUUUUGGACAAUGGGCGCAAGCCUGAUCCAGCAAUGCCGCGUGCAGGAAGAAGGCCUUCGGGUUGUAAACUGCUUUUGUCAGGGAAGAAAUCUUCUGGGCUAAUACCCCGGGAGGAUGACGGUACCGUAAGAAUAAGCACCGGCUAACUACGUGCCAGCCGCCGCCGUAAAAC
rnacentral:rRNA from 1 species